CUUAAGUGGGGAAUAACGCAUCGAAAGAUGUGCUAAUACCGCAUAUACUCUGAGGAGGAAAGCAGGGGCUCGUAAGACCCUGCGCUUUUGGAGCGGCCGAUGUCUGAUUAGCUAGUUGGUGGGGUAAAGGCCUACCAAGGCGACGAUCAGUAGUUGGUCUGAGAGGACGACCAGCCACACUGGGACUGAGACACGGCCCAGACUCCUACGGGAGGCAGCAGUGGGGAAUUUUGGACAAUGGGCGCAAGCCUGAUCCAGCAAUGCCGCGUGAGUGAAGAAGGCCUUCGGGUUGUAAAGCUCUUUCAGUCGAGAAGAAAAGGCUGUGGUAAAUGAUCACAGUUCAUGACGGUAUCGACAGAAGAAGCACCGGCUAACUACGUGCCAGCAGCCGCGGUAAUACGUAGGGUGCAAGCGUUAAUCGGAAUUACUGGGCGUAAAGGGUGCGCAGGCGGUUUUGUAAGUCAGAUGUGAAAUCCCCGGGCCUAACCUGGGAAUUGCGUUUGAAACUACAAAGCUAG
rnacentral:rRNA from 1 species